AAAAAAGUAGUUUAACUUUAGAACAAUAGAUUGUGGGGCUAUAAGUGGUGUGAACCCUUUUUUA
rnacentral:tRNA from 2 species